ACUCCUACGGGAGGCAGCAGUGGGGAAUAUUGCACAAUGGGGGAAACCCUGAUGCAGCCAUGCCGCGUGUGUGAAGAAGGCCUUCGGGUUGUAAAGCACUUUCAGUAGGGAGGAAGGUAGUGUAGUUAACACCUGCAUUAUUUGACGUUACCUACAGAAGAAGCACCGGCUAACUCCGUGCCAGCAGCCGCGGUAAGUACGGAGGGUGCGAGCGUUAAUCGGAAUUACUGGGCGUAAAGCGCAUGCAGGCGGCCUGUUAAGUCAGAUGUGAAAGCCCGGGGUCUUAACCGUCGGAAUUGCAUUUGAAACUGGCAGGCUAGAGUCUUGUAGAGGGGUUAGAAUUUCAGGUGUAGCGGUGAAAUGCGUAGAGAUCUGAAGGAAUACCAGUGGCGAAGGCGGCCCCGUGGACAAAGACUGACGCUCAGAUGCGAAAGCGUGGGAGCAAACAGGAUUAGAUACCCCGUGGUAGCGACUGA
rnacentral:rRNA from 1 species